rnacentral:rRNA from 1 species
UACGUAGGGUGCAAGCGUUAAUCGGAAUUACUGGGCGUAAGCGUGCGCAGGCGGUUUUGUAAGUCUGUCGUGAAAGCCCCGGGCUCAACCUGGGAAUUGCGAUGGAGACUGCAAGGCUUGAAUCUGGCAGAGGGGGGUAGAAUUCCACGUGUAGCAGUGAAAUGCGUAGAGAUGUGGAGGAACACCGAUGGCGAAGGCAGCCCCCUGGGUCAAGAUUGACGCUCAUGCACGAAAGUGUGGGGAGCAAACAGG